rnacentral:piRNA from 1 species
CUCCAUAACUCAGACCCACAACU